rnacentral:rRNA from 1 species
AAAAAAAUCAAUUAAAUUAAUAGGAAAUUUUAAGAGUAGAAUAAAGAAAAUUUAUUAUAAAUUAUAUUUUUUCUACGUCAAAAAUGCAUAUAAUAAAAGAACUGAAACAUCUUAGUAUUUAUAAAAGAAAAGUAUGAAAGUAGUGGCGAAUGAAAUCAUAGUAAAAAUUAAAAAUAUCUGAUUAGACAGAAAAACUUAUUAUUUACCUAUAGAGAUAGUACUUUGAAGGAAAUUUAAAAAUAAUUGAUUUACAAUAAUGAAAGACAUUUACCUUUUGUAUAAUGGGCUUAUAAGAAUAAAAGUUAGCAAGCUUAAAGGCAAAAAGAGAUUAAAAUAGUUAACUUAACCCGAAACCGAACGAUCUAAUUGUGAACAACUUUAUGAGUGAACUAAUAAAUGUAGAAAAAUUUUUAGAUGAUUUGCAAUUAGCAGCGAAAAACUAACCGAGUUCGGAUAUAGCUGGUUCUCUACGAAAAUUAUAUAAGUAAGACAUUAGUAAGCUAAUAGUCAGACAUUAAAUGAAAACAUUAUAUGUCAAAAGGAAAAAAAUCCUAAUCAAAAAUUAAUAAAUCUAAUAAAAUAAUUAAAAAAAAGAUAAUCAUUAAUACGAUAAAUAAAUAGGCUUAGAAACUGCCAUAUUUUAAAAAAUACGUAAUAGUUUAUUUAACAAAAGAUUUCUCCCUAAAAUAUAAUCCCAUUUUUUUAGAAAUUUUGACCUAAGUAGUAGAGUAUUUUACAAUUAAAAAAGAAUUUAGUAAAAGAAAUAAUAUAAGCACGAGUAUAAUAAAAUUUAUUCCUAAAUAUUCUUAUUUUACAACUUGAAUAAGGUAAAACAGAUCCUCAAUAAAAAAGGGUAAAAAAUUAAAAACUAUCAAGAAAUAUUAAUUUUAAUCAACUGUAAAAUCUCAAUCAAGAAGGAAUUAAUAAAAUAUCAAUUUUCUUUAAGAAACUCGGCAAAAUAGAUAUCGACUGUUUACCAAAAACAUAGCCCUAGAUAUUAUCUAAGGUGUGACCUGCCCAAUGAUUUUUAAGCUAAAAAUGAGAAAAACAUUUUAAUAAAAUUUAAAGGACGCAGUAACCUUGACUGUGAUAAUGUAGCAUAAUCACUCGCCAUUUAAUUGAUGGAUAGUAUGAAUGGUUAAACGAAUAUCUCACUGUCUUAAAGAGAAAAACCAAAAAACUAAAAUAAUAGUUAAGAUGCUAUUUAAAAUUAUAAGACGAAAAGACCCUAUAGAGCUUAACUAUUUUUUCUUUAUCACUAGAAAAGAAUUUCUUUUAAAAAUAAAGAAAAAGGUAGUUUAGUUGGGGCGACUAUCUUCUAGAAAUAACGAAGAUAAGCAAAGUUAAUAAAAAAACUUAUUGUAUAAAUUAUAUUUUUAACAAUUACUAUUGUAGGCUAUAAUGACCCGUUAAUAUCAUAUAAAAAGAAUUAACGAUCAAUAAAUAAAAGCUACCUUAGGGAUAACAGGAUUAUUUCAUUUUAGAGAUCUAAUCGAAAAUGAAGUUUGUCACCUCUAUGUUGAAUUAAGAUAUCCUAAUAAUGCAGAAGUUAUUGAAGGUAGGUCUGUUCGACCUUUAAAAUCUUACAUGA